rnacentral:rRNA from 1 species
UGCGUAGGCAGCGAGCGUUGUUCGGAGUUACUGGGCGUAAAGGGUGUGUAGGCGGUCCCUUAAGUUUGGUGUGAAAUCUCCCGGCUCAACUGGGAGGGUGCGCCGGAUACUGAGGGGCUAGAGUGCGGGAAGGGAAAGUGGAAUUCCUGGUGUAGCGGUGAAAUGCGUAGAUAUCAGGAGGAACACCGGUGGUGCAAACGGCUUUCUGGACCGUAACUGACGCUGAGACACGAAAGCGUGGGGAGCAAACAGG